rnacentral:lncRNA from 1 species
CUAAUAGCCCAAAGAUUAGAUAAAGUGGACCUUCUUGCCCAGAAAUUUGAUCAGUUCCUAGCAUUAGGUCAACAAUCUCCUGCACAAUACACACCACCACCUAAUUAUCAGGAGAUUUGUUCUAUCUGUGCUAGCCCAGCCCAUCAUGUGAGCGAAUAUUCCAUGGCUGCACAGUUUCUACCUUUCAUUCAAGAACAAGUUCAAGCUGCUCAAGGUUACUCCAAACCUGUCAAUGAU